AACUGUAAGCAGAGUCUAAGGGGAAAUCACGUGUGGGGGGUUUGCCCUUUUCUGUAUGGCUGUGCGUUCCACCCAGCCUGAAUCCACGUCAGCUGGGACCCCCCAGGCAGCUUCCGGCUCAGUCAACAGAGGCUUAUGGGAUGGACGACGCUGAGGCCCCUCUCCCGGCCACCUGGCAGGGCUGGCUCAUCCACACUGGUGCGUUCAGGACUCUUUGCUGCCUGCCCGUGACCGAGAGGACCCUGGAAGUGGAGAGGACUGCCUCAAACGUGGGUGACUGCUGGCUGCCGGCGCAUGUUGAAGCAGGCAGCUGUGAGCGUGAGUGGCGGCCCCGCCGCGUGACCACGUGAGAGCACUGCUCCCAGAGGCUCGGCUACAGAACGAAGGUGGGAGGAGAACUUACCCUGGCGGAGCCCCAAACAUCAGGUGGGGUUUGCUGGCUCCAGGUCUUCACAGUGUCCAGGAUGCUCAUCGGCCAUGCAGUGCCCGGCCCCCGGGCUGGCGGAGGGCCGGUCCGGCCAGGUGGUCGGGGGGGACACAAGACUCCCUGCGGCUGUGCUGUCCCUUGGUCCUGGAGUCCCAAACUGGCUCACCACCUUCUUCCUCUUUUCGGAGACCUCCUGUGGCAGUUUGUCUGCUGCACUGUUUCCAGGGUUCCUGGUGAAGCCGGGGAAGGAGCAGGAAAAUGGGUCUACACUGGACAUCAGCAGCCAGAAGGCCAAUCAAAAGUCUCAGGUGCUCCAGGAUAUUUCCUCACCUCGUGGAGCUCCAGGUGCCUCAAAUAUCUCCACCAAGUGCCAUCACCUUUGUUCCGGUACCGUCUUCCUUGGGGCCUGGCAGAAGCAUACCUGUGAGAGGGCAUUAAGUUUUCAUCUGUGUGAAGUUGGUCAGAGACCACACAGCGCAGGAACAGAGACAGCUCCCCAAGCUGCUUCUGUAGACUGCUUGUCCAAAGCCAUGGAAGCCGGAAGAUCUCCUAACAUGCUGGCCUGGGCCUGGGGUCAGAAUGUGGAGGGGUGUAAGGAUGUCCUGCGAGCAGCAGGCCCCAGGUGGGCGGCACUCUCCCCUGAGUGGGUGGGCUGGGCUCCACAGGGCCCACGCGGCUCCCACUGCCCCUGGAGGCAGCGCCUCUCCUCUGCUCAGUGACCGUUUCCAGUUGUAUUUCUUUGUAAACAACAGCAUUCCAGAGUAACAUCAGCCCCUAGGUUGACGUCAGCCCCCUGCAACUGCACCCAUGAACGCAAGGAAAACAUGAAAGAAACACAACAAUGUGAGAACCUGUAACAGAGCCGUCUGACAGAUGGAUGUACCAAUGAGGCCACAGAGACUGAGUGCCAUGAUCAGCGCAAUAAGUUAAAGUCUACACGUCAAACUCUGUGCCCUUCAGACUGAGAGGCCACGUUCUCCCCAGUGCCCAGGGGACACUUACAGACGGUGUGUAAACAAGAAGGAUUAUCAUGAUAGGCCCAGCCAAUCGCGGACAGCUGGAAGUCAGCAAUCGACAUUCCCAGCUCUGCCGGCGUCUCCCCAGGACCAGGCUCCAGGUUCUUCCGCAUGGCGCUGGUGGCUCCUGGGAGCCCACCCAGCCUCUCUGGAGCCCCGUGGCCCACGACUUCCCCGGUGGGCUGCCACCUCUUCCACGCGUCCCAUUGUCACCAUCCCGCUGGAACUGUCUUUCCUCCCACCGCUUCCUCAAAACUGAGAUUGUCACGGCCACCCAGGACCUCCAAGUUGCCAAAUGCAACUUCGCUGUGCUCUGCGCAGGGGCAUGUGACAGCCUGGCUCCCACCUCGGGCUUGGAAUGCCCUCUUCCCCUGGCUUUCGGGCAGCCUGGCUCACUUGCAGCCUCUCCUUGCCUCUCUCCGGCUGCCCUUCUCAGCUGUCCUGCUCUGCGCAGUCUGGGAUGUGGGUGCACUGGGCUCUACCUGGCCUGGCUUUUCUCUGCCUUAUGUCUGCUCCUCCCUAGGGAACCUCAUCUGGGCCCCGCAGCCCUCUCUCUUGGCAGGAUCCCAAAGGUCGUUUGCCUUCCCCUGUAUCACAUUGAGGAGAAGAAAGAGGCAGAAACGGAGAUUGAGAGAGAAGAUUCGCCAAAGUUUUCCUGCUCGCUGGUGAGGAAUCCUUCAGCUCAGCAGAAAUGCUAAAUUGGUACCGUCCAGCCAUGUGAGGACACAGCGAGCAGGCCGCCGUCUGCAUGCCAGGAAGGAUCUCUCAGCAGACACCCCCCGCCCGGCACCGUGAUCUCAGACUUCAGCCUCCAGAGCUGCGAGGAACUGUCUGCUGUGGAAGCUGCCCCGGCUGCGGCGUUUGCCGUGGCAGCUGAGUGGACUGAGACGCCAGAGAGAGCUCUCUUUCGUGGAGCACCAUGGGCUUCGCAGACGUUAUUCCCACACAAUAUUUAUUUGUCUUUGCAUGAUUUGUAUGCAUUAUGCCACUAGAUUGUCCCUGCUUUAUAAAUGAGGUGCCUGAAGCACAGUGAGGGGAAGUGACUCGCCCAAGGUCACGGUAGCAGAGCCAGAAUUUGAGCCCAGGAGGGGGUCACCUGGCAGCCACGACCCUGACCCCACACCACGCUUGGGGUCUCCUCAUGAAGCCCGUCGGUCUGACUCCUCCUGGCCCCUGCAGCCUGCGAUGCUGUGACCUGAGGCGGCCUUGCCUGUGAACGGAGCCAGAGCCACUCAGUCCUUAGCACCCUGGGAAUUAGGCACAGGACGAAACCCCCAGAGAGUGGGGCCAGCGCCAGGCCCGCAGCAAUGGCUCUGUGCUGCACCCUGGCAUUUUGAUGGAUGAAAAACAUUUCAAGUUUUCUUGUAAAAAUGUCUGUUGUGGAAAGAUAAGGUAAUUUGGCACAUGCAGCGGUGACUUCUUAACUAGUCUGUGCAAGAAUGGUGUGCUUAUUUUUAGCCUUGGGGCUGGGAGCAGUGUGGCCCUAAUCAGCUUCAGGGAAUUGCUGGCCAGGCCAGCGCCAGUCCAG
ensembl:lncRNA